rnacentral:rRNA from 1 species
UGACGGUACCACUUGAAUAAGCUCCGGCUAACUACGUGCCAGCAGCCGCGGUAAUACGUAGGUUGCAAGCGUUGUCCGGAUUUACUGGGUGUAAAGGGCGUGUAGGCGGAGAAGCAAGUCAGAUGUGAAAUCCCGGGGCUUAACCCCGGAACUGCAUUUGAAACUGUUUCCCUUGAGUAUCGGAGAGGCAAGCGGAAUUCCUAGUGUAGCGGUGAAAUGCGUAGAUAUUAGGAGGAACACCAGUGGCGAAGGCGGCUUGCUGGACGACAACUGACGCUGAGGCGCGAAAGCGUGGGGAGCAAACAGGAUUAGAUACCCUG